rnacentral:rRNA from 1 species
AUUGAACGCUGGCGGCAUGCUUUACACAUGCAAGUCGAACGGUAACGGGUUAAGCUGACGAGUGGCGAACGGGUGAGUAAUGCAUCGGAACGUGCCCGGUCGUGGGGGAUAACGCAGCGAAAGCUGCGCUAAUACCGCAUACGAUCUGAGGAUGAAAGCGGGGGACCGUAAGGCCUCGCGCGAUCGGAGCGGCCGAUGUCAGAUUAGGUAGUUGGUGGGGUAAAGGCUCACCAAGCCAACGAUCUGUAGCUGGUCUGAGAGGACGACCAGCCACACUGGGACUGAGACACGGCCCAGACUCCUACGGGAGGCAGCAGUGGGGAAUUUUGGACAAUGGGCGAAAGCCUGAUCCAGCAAUGCCGCGUGCAGGAAGAAGGCCUUCGGGUUGCAAACUGCUUUUGUACGGAGCGAAAAGGUCUCCUCUAAUUCAGGGGGCUCAUGACGGUACCGUAAGAAUAAGCACCGGCUAACUACGUGCCAGCCGCCGCAGUAA